UGGGGAAUCUUGCACAAUGGGGGAAACCCUAAUGCAGCGACGCCGCGUGAACGAUGAAGCCCUUCGGGGUGUAAAGUUCUUUCGACAGGAACGAUAAUGACGGUACCUGGAGAAGAAGCUGCGGCUAACUACGUGCCAGCAGCCGCGGUAAUACGUAGGCAGCGAGCGUUGUUCGGAGUUACUGGGCGUAAAGAGUGCGUAGGCGGCGAGCCAAGUUUGGUGUGAAAUCUCCCAGCUUAACCGGGAGGGUGCGCCGAAAACUGGUUGGCUGGAGUAUGGGAGAGGAAAGCGGAAUUCCUGGUGUAGCGGUGAAAUGCGUAGAUAUCAGGAGGAACACCUGCGGUGUAGACAGCUUUCUGGACCAAAACUGACGCUGAGGCACGAAAGCGUGGGUAGCAAACA
rnacentral:rRNA from 1 species